AAAAUUGAGAAUUGAAAUGUGAUAAUAAAAAUCUUUUUCAACGUUCAAAUAUUACUCCAUUGUUUAUUACAUAAUCUUCUACACAAUUGCAUUACUAUCACUAAAGGCAGAUAAUAAGUCGUCUGAUGGAAGAAUAGUUUUAUUAAAUAAAGAAGCGUCGUUGCAAUUAUCCGAAAAGUGGGGAAACACUCUUUGUGUUCUUAUUGUUCCAAGCGUCUUCGUUAGCAAUAACAAACUGGUUAUAUUCCGUUUCGACAGAACUAUUUGUCAAACGCAAACUGAAAACAUCGUAUAGAACAAGCAGCUACGAUGAAACUUCCCAACUUCACUGUACCGAAGCCAUCGAUUUUCAUUCAAAAUUGAAGAGUACAUAAAUUCUCAGAUGAAUGAACAUAUUAGUAACCUUAAGGACCAUAAAUGAUAUAUAGUAUAGUUCUAGCUUCAAAAUUGGAA
rnacentral:misc_RNA from 1 species